rnacentral:lncRNA from 1 species
AAAUUUUAUGUUGAAAUUUAAAAGUUAGAACAUGAUGCAUUUUUUUGAAUAAAGGAGCUCAAGAAUGGUGAAAGUUUUUUUCCUUUGGUUAGAGUGGAUUAUACUUUUACUCUAUUUUUUGGAGUAUAGUUUAACUAUACUCCAAAAAUUACGUUACUUUUUUCCUCCCAAAUGCUUCAUAGGAUAUUUUUUCUACCGCCGUAGCAUAGUUUAACUAUGCUACAUUUUUCAGAGUAUCCAAACGGGGCCUAAAUAAGCAGGACUUUAUUGGAGUUGAUGU